rnacentral:rRNA from 1 species
UACGUAGGGCGCAAGCGUUGUCCGGAAUUAUUGGGCGUAAAGAGCUCGUAGGCGGUUUGUCGCGUCUGCCGUGAAAGUCCGGGGCUUAACUCCGGAUCUGCGGUGGGUACGGGCAGACUUGAGUGAUGUAGGGGAGACUGGAAUUCCUGGUGUAGCGGUGAAAUGCGCAGAUAUCAGGAGGAACACCGAUGGCGAAGGCAGGUCUCUGGGCAUUAACUGACGCUGAGGAGCGAAAGCAUGGGGAGCGAACAGG